rnacentral:rRNA from 1 species
AUGCCAAGAGCUGCACCAACCCCACCGUCCGCCGCUGGAUGGCAGAUCUCAAGACCUCUGCCUACCAAGCCGACCAUGUCCUCGAAAACUUCCGCUAUGCGGCGCUGUGCCGAUGACCACAUCCGCGGCCCCUCCUCCGAAAUGGAGCAUGAUAAGCAAGCGGAGAAGGAUUAUGAAGAGGAGGAAGAGAAUGGGGAGGACGAGGAUGAGCAAGAUACUCUGUUUGAGGAGGAGAAAGAUUCUUCUCAUUUUGAUGUCAAAGCGCUAAGUGUUAUGCUAUGCAAAAUUGCAUUGUUUGGCUGUCAACGUUCAAUAUUUUUGUUGUAUAAAGUUCAAAGGAGGAGCUGUCCAAAAUUCAAAAGCCAUGAUGUUCAAUUCUUUCUUAGUCAUAUAUAUUUGUUCCAUUUCUACAUUUUUCAUAGAAGAAAGCUUAUUUUUUCAUCACUAUGA